CUUGGUCAAAGUCAGUGAUCGGGUUCAUUCUGUUUCAGGCAAAGAAAUCUAGUGUUGAAAUUGCUGGGAAGCCUGCUGGUAUGGUUCUACUUAAUUGGAUCAAUUACUCAAAUUCAAUGCUAUUUAGGUAUGAGGAACUUGCUUCUAACCCUAACAUGGGGUACACUGCUGGAGGUGCUACUCAAAACUCCAUUUGAGUUGCCCAGGUCCACUAUUACGAGGAUGAGUCUGCACCAACAUGUACUUGUGGUGUUUGUGUAGUGGAUGGUGCAAGGUCAUACUUAUUGCCAAUUCGCAGCCGCUAGCUGCUACAAAGUUGAGCAUCUGAAAAGACUAGAAAUUGGGCAUUGGAUGGGUAACUGUUCAGCCAAGUGUUUCAGCUCCAACAUUUGAACUAGCACUAUGAAACCUCUAGGCUUUCAAUUUUGUACAGUUUGGUCUGCUAACCAGUGGUUGGGGAUAUAUGAAGGCAUGCUUUGGCUCAAGUAGGUUCU